rnacentral:rRNA from 1 species
AUUGAACGCUGGCGGCAGGCUUAACACAUGCAAGUCGAACGAGUGGCGGACGGGUGAGUAAUGCCUGGGAAACUGGCUGAUGGAGGGGGAUGACGACGGGAAACUGUCGCUAAUACCGCGUACCAUCGGAUGAGCCCAAAUGGGAUUAGGUAGUUGGUGGGGUAAUGGCCUACCAAGCCGACGAACUCUAGCUGGUCUGAGAGGAUGACCCGCCACACUGGGACUGAGACACGGCCCAGACUCCUACGGGAGGCAGCAGUGGGGAAUAUUGCACAAUGGGGGCAACCUGACGCAGCCAUGCCGCGUGAAUGAAGAAGGCCUUCGGGUUGUAAAGUUCUUUCGGUGGCGAGGCGUUAAUCACAGAAGAAGCACCGGCUAACUCCGUGCCAGCCGCCGCGGUAAUAC